rnacentral:rRNA from 1 species
CUACGGGGUGCUGCAGUGAGGAAUAUUGCACAAUGGGGGGAACCCUGAUGCAGCAACGCCGCGUGGAGGAUGACGCAUUUCGGUGUGUAAACUCCUUUUAUAUGUCAAGAAAAUGACGGUAGCAUAUGAAUAAGCACCGGCUAACUCCGUGCCAGCAGCCGCGGUAAUACAGAGGGUGCAAGCGUUACUCGGAAUCACUGGGCGUAAAGGACGCGUAGGCGGGUUGGAAAGUCAGGUGUGAAAUCCUACAGCUUAACUGUAGAACUGCACUUGAAACUUCUAAUCUAGAGUAUGGGAGGGGGAGAUGGAAUUAGUGGUGUAGGGGUAAAAUCCGUAGAUAUCACUAGGAAUACCUAAAGCGAAGGCGAUCUCCUGGAUCAUUACUGACGCUAAGGCGUGAAAGCGUGGGGAGCAAACAGGAUUAGAUACCCCUGUAGUC